rnacentral:rRNA from 1 species
CUACGGGGCGCUCCAGUGAGGAAUAUUGCACAAUGGGGGGAACCCUGAUGCAGCAACGCCGCGUGGAGGAUGACGCAUUUCGGUGUGUAAACUCCUUUUAUAUGUCAAGAAAAUGACGGUAGCAUAUGAAUAAGCACCGGCUAACUCCGUGCCAGCAGCCGCGGUAAUACGGAGGGUGCAAGCGUUACUCGGAAUCACUGGGACGAAAAGGACGCGUAGGCGGGUUGGAAAGUCAGGUGUGAAAUCCUACAGCUUAACUGUAGAACUGCACUUGAAACUUCUAAUCUAGAGUAUGGGAGGGGAGAUGGAAAUAGGGGGGUAGGGGUUAAAUCCGUAGAUAACACUAAGGAAGCCUAAAGCGAAGGCGAACCCCUGGAACAUUACCGACGCUAAGGGGUGAAAACCUGGGGAGCCAACCGGAUUAGAUUCCCCUGUAGUC